CUACGGGAGGCAGCAGUAGGGAAUAUUGGUCAAUGGACGCAAGUCUGAACCAGCCAUGCCACGUGCAGGAUGACGGCCCUCUGGGUUGUAAACUGCUUUUAUAUGGGAAGAAACCCCGGGAUGCGUUCCGGGCUGACGGUACCAUACGAAUAAGGAUCGGCUAACUUCGUGCCAGCAGCCGCGGUAAGACGAAGGAUCCAAGCGUUGUCCGGAUUUACUGGGUUUAAAGGGUGCGUAGGCGGAUGCUUAAGCCAGUGGUGAAAUCUCUCAGCUCAACUGAGAAACUGCCAUUGGAACUGGGCAUCUUGAAUUCGAUUGAGGUAGAUGGAAUAUAACAUGUAGCGGUGAAAUGCUUAGAUAGGUUAUGGAACACCGAUUGCGAAGGCAGUCUACUAAGUCGAUAUUGACGCUGAGGCACGAAAGCGUGGGUAGCGAACAGGAUUAGAUACCCUGGUAGUCCACGCCCUAAACGUUGAUUACUCGCUGUUGGCGAUACACUGUCAGCGGCUAAGCGAAAGCUUAAGUAAUCCACCUGGGAAGUACGACCGCAAGUUG
rnacentral:rRNA from 1 species